CUGUCGACUCGAACGACGUGCAGUGAGAGCAGCACCACCGGGAGCACCGAUAACGUCAUCUGGAAAGAAACGAGAAAAGUACCAACGGUUUGGGAUGUCUGUAUAAACACUACCUAUCCAUCCUGCGGGAUGCUGCAUUGACUGGACUCCCACCAGAAUGAAGAACCUUUAAAUAAAAUAAAGCUGCUCCUCGGA